rnacentral:rRNA from 1 species
UACAGAGGGUGCGAGCGUUAAUCGGAAUUACUGGGCGUAAAGCGUGCGUAGACGGUUAUUUAAGUCGGGUGUGAAAGCCCCGGGCUCAACCUGGGAAUUGCAUUCGAGACUGAAUAGCUAGGGUACGGUAGAGGGAAGCGGAAUUUCCGGUGGAGCGGUGAAAUGCGUAGAGAUCGGAAAGAACACCAACGGCGAAAGCACUCUGCUGGGCCGACACUGACACUGAGAGACGAAAGCUAGGGGAGCGAAUGGG